UUCUUCUUCGUUCACUUAUUAUGCCUACAGGAACAGAUUGAAGUUGUAACGACCAUGGCUAUCCUGCCUUUUCUUCUUUCUCUAAACGUUUUAGACCUCUAAAUAUCUCUCUGUAAAUACGGAAGUUACUCCCAGUUAACCCACGAUUCCAUUCAGGAGAUCAAAGCCCCAUUUGAGUGCACCUUAAUCUCCGUUAAUGGCCAUGAUGCUGCAAGAAACGGCCGCGACAAUUAACUCCACCUCCCGUUGCUCCACUCGCUUCCCCUUUGUAUAAAUUCCACCUAGUGCUUCCCAUCGCAGACCACACCCGUGCACCACUCCACGCCCCCAGGCUGCCCCUGUAGAGGGCGAAUUUCUUCGCCGGAGUUCGACGGUCGCCGCGACGCACUUGUCGAUUUCGCCGGCCGGAGGUCGUCCACGACGAGCACACGACUCCACCGCCGGUCCGUCCGUCUGCCACUGUCUCCAACUCUCCAGGAGCUUUUCCGAGAUUUUCCCAAGGCCAUCAUCGUCUUCGUCGUGCCAGAAGGAGUGCUUGUCCGCUACACCCUCAGCUCUGGUGACACCCGCAUAGUGCAGGCCGUUCUCCGCUGCCCUGCACAACCUCUCCGAUUGUCAAGUCUCGUUGCUUGCACGGAGAGCUAAGCGUUUUUGUUGAGAGAAGUGAACGUUCAUCGACUAACAAGCAAAGGCAAG